ensembl:misc_RNA Metazoa_SRP Metazoan signal recognition particle RNA
GCUGGGCGUGGUGGCUCAGGCCUGUAAUCCCAGCACUUUGGGAGGCUGAGGCAGGCGGAUCACCUGAGGCCAGGAAUUUGAGACCAGCCUGGCCAACAUGGUGAGACCCUGUCUCUA